rnacentral:misc_RNA from 1 species
GUAUCAAAUUGAAUUUUAAAAUAUUUCAGUCAAACAAUCAAGGGAUUUUAUUGUGUGGGGAUAAAGCCAAUAAAGGCUCCAUCACACAGAAAUAUAAAUGCACAUGGGUAUUGGAAGAUAGUAAAAAGUUCUGGUUUUUUUAAACCAGACUUUUUAUUUCUGUAAUGAUCCUUCCGCAGGUUCACCUACGGAAA